rnacentral:rRNA from 1 species
UACGGAGGGGGCUAGCGUUGUUCGGAAUUACUGGGCGUAAAGCGCACGUCGGCGGCUUUGUAAGUUAGAGGUGAAAGCCCAGGGCUUAACCCUGGAAUUGCCUUUAAGACUGCAUCGCUAGAAUCGUGGAGAGGUGAGUGGAAUUCCGAGUGUAGAGGUGAAAUUCGUAGAUAUUCGGAAGAACACCAGUGGCGAAGGCGACUCACUGGACACGUAUUGACGCUGAGGUGCGAAAGCGUGGGGAGCAAACAGG